GAUGAACGCUGGCGGCGUGCCUAAUACAUGCAAGUCGAGCGAACGGACGAGAAGCUUGCUUCUCUGAUGUUAGCGGCGGACGGGUGAGUAACACGUGGAUAACCUACCUAUAAGACUGGGAUAACUUCGGGAAACCGUAGCUAAUACCGGAUAAUAUUUUGAACCGCAUGGUUCAAAAGUGAAAGACGGUCUUGCUGUCACUUAUAGAUGGAUCCGCGCUGCAUUAGCUAGUUGGUAAGGUAACGGCUUACCAAGGCAACGAUGCAUAGCCGACCUGAGAGGGGGAUCGCCCACACUGGAACUGAGACACGGUCCAGACUCCUACGGGAGGGAGCAGUAGGGAAUCUUCCGCAAUGGGCGAAAGCCUGACGGAGCAACGCCGCGUGAGUGAUGAAGGUCUUCGGAUCGUAAAACUCUGUUAUUAGGGAAGAACAUAUGUGUAAGUAACUGUGCACAUCUUGACGGUACCUAAUCAGAAAGCCACGGCUAACUACGUG
rnacentral:rRNA from 1 species